GAUUAAGUGUCGUAAGGGCAUUUGGUGGAUGCCUUGGCAUGCACAGGCGAUGAAGGACGUGAUACGCUGCGAAAAGCCGUGGGGAGCUGCGAAUGAGCUUUGAUCCAUGGAUCUCCGAAUGGGGCAACCCACCUUAAAUGCUUGGAAAAUCAUUCUGGUUGUCGGGUCUUCGACCCGACGUUACGGCGAACGAUCGCCGACGGCCUCUGGCCUGUAUGGGAACUUCCCGAUACAGCGCAGAGCGCGUCGCCGGUCGUCCGGCGCGCCCACGCAGCGCUGCACGAAGUGCAGAACAAGCGUGAGUGAAAACCCGAAUGGUUUCCAAGCAUUGUUAUAAGGUAUCUGCACCUGAAUACAUAGGGUGUAAGAAGCGAACGCAGGGAACUGAAACAUCUAAGUACCUGCAGGAAAGGACAUCAACCGAGACUCCGCAAGUAGUGGCGAGCGAACGCGGACCAGGCCAGUGGCAAUUGUGAUUAAAGUGGAACGCUCUGGAAAGUGCGGCCGUAGUGGGUGACAGCCCCGUACGCGUAGAUAUCACGAUUGUCCUAGAGUAGGGCGGGACACGAGAAAUCCUGUCUGAACAUGGGGAGACCACUCUCCAAGCCUAAGUACUCGUGCAUGACCGAUAGCGAACAAGUACCGUGAGGGAAAGGUGAAAAGCACCCCGACAAGGGGAGUGAAAUAGAACCUGAAACCGGAUGCCUACAAACAGUCGGAGCCUGAAAGGGUGACGGCGUACCUUUUGUAUAAUGGGUCAACGACUUAGUGUAACAAGCAAGCUUAAGCCGGUAGGUGUAGGCGCAGCGAAAGCGAGUCUGAACAGGGCGAUAUAGUUUGUUGCAUUAGACCCGAAACCGAGUGAUCUAGCCAUGAGCAGGUUGAAGGUUGGGUAACACCAACUGGAGGACCGAACCCG
rnacentral:rRNA from 1 species